CAUGGCACUUGGAACUUGGCAGAGGUUUAAAGCAAAACUGGCCAUUAUACAGGAACAGAGAGAACAUUGGACUUGGAGAAGAAGACUGGGGUUCGUGUUCCAUGUCUACUACACUCAUCAGCUGGGAAAACUGAAGAUCUGAGGACACCAAAAAGACCCUCAGAAGCAGAAGAGCCACAGGAUGAAACGGGUCCAGGUCUCCAUAGCAACCCUGGAGGAGAGGCCUGCAGGGUCGAUGCCUGGUCCUCAGCAGGCUACAGCAUCGGAUGUCUGCGAGGAUCUCACAGUAGAGACAGAAUUCCAAAUCAGGACAGUAGAUUCAAGCUGAACGCCAGAGUGGUGGGCUGUGCUGGCCCUCGUGACCCCCGAGGAGAGGACAUGCCUGCCUAUGGACUCUGCCACAGGAGAAUCUCAGUUGGCUUAGCCACAGCUAGAGCCUGGUGCGAUAAGAUGCCUGGAUGGAGACCAAGGCUUGAGAGAGGCAAAGGAAUGAGUGGGAAUGAGUGGAGAGAAAACAAUGAGAACCAGGAAGAGGAGAUGAGUGAGAGGAGACUGUUCAACACUCACACUUCAAACCUGCGUGCUGAGACUCCCUGGCACCAGCCCGGUGGUGCUGGCCUCCUGAGUUGCUUUCUGUUUUAGGGUUGGUGUUUGCAGGAUUUGAGAAUCCAUUUAGAUAAUUCCCAUAAGAAAAAAUGCAAAUGAUUCAUAAACAUAUGAAAUAAAUGUAAUCAAAGAAAUGCAAAUACAAAACAACAAGGAAGUGUUUCUCAUCUAUCGAAUUAAUGGGGAUUACAACAGGGGUAUUCAACAGGGGUAGUGAGAUGACCCAUCUUUCGCUGUAGAAGUAAUUGGCACAAUCUUUCUCUUGGCAGUGGGGACCAAAAGUCUUAAAAUCAUACACGUUUCUUGACCCACUAAUUCCUUUGUUAGGGAUCUACCCAAAGGACGUAAGUGGAAGUUCAAGCAAGACUUGGGUAUGAAGGUCUCAUCGGGUCAUCAUUUACAUCCAGGAAAAGUACAACAAUAAAAUAUGACUUUGUGAUAAAUUAUAUAAUC
rnacentral:lncRNA from 1 species